rnacentral:lncRNA from 1 species
GGUUGCUAACUAGGUAACUAGAAGAGCAAAAAGAGAACUCGGUAUCAUAGAGGCAGUAGCUCAAGGCGAGACCACCGGGCCCAGGCCACAGAGCAGAGGGAAGAGGUGGACAUCGUUACAGACGAGCACCCGUGGGUGAGACCCGGAACACAGGCUGCCUCUCGGUGGGUGGUGGGUGCUGGUGUCUUUGAGGGGCACAGAGGGCUGAUCUCCAGUUGUGGGAACAACUGAAAACUGGUCUUAGCUGCUGCUGAGAAAGGCACAGCCUCUGCCAGGUGAAGCAGCACACGGGUGACACAGGAAGUAGGAAGAAACCAACAGACAGGAAACAGGAAGCAGGCAAGAAGCGCCAAGUGCCUCCCUCCCUCCAGUAGAGGCCAGACUGCUGCCAAGAGAGGAGCAGAGUGCAGCCUCCCAGGAGGGGGAGGGCGGGAGUGGAGCAGAGGGAUGAAGACUUGCCAGGACAGUCCCUCUUUCUGUGACUCCUGCACAUCCCUCCGCACACACACCUAGGGACGCCCUCCCCAUGCCAUACCCACACUGUCCUCACCAAGCAAGAUGCGCGUGUCCUCCCCGGGAGUAAAGGGCUCUCAGCCUCGUCCCAGGGUCAGAGGCCAGGUGCAGCAGGCGCGUCUGUCGGCACUGCGUGACCCACGGGAACCCAGUCACGCUCCACCCGAUGUUCCCUCACCUACAGCUGAGCUGCGGAAUUAACCCCAACGAACUCGCAGAAUUAGGAAGGAAGGUGGCGAAGAGGUGAGCCCACGCGAGUGCACACGCACACAGGCGGGAAAGGACGUGCCACUCUGCUCCUCACCGAGCCUGGCCGCCAUCCUCUGCACCACUUCCUCGGCCUCCCCCCCCCCCCCCCUGCCCAGGCCUCCGCUGGGAGGGCUCCUCGCCUCACUCACGGGCCUGGCUGCCUGUGGACCCGCUGUGCGAAGGUACCUCCACUCACUUUCACCGUAGAGCUGUGAAGUCCCACGAGGUGCCCAGGAGCACCCCUUGGGUUCCAGACACCGUCUUUCCUGUCCCCGCCGCGCAGCACAGACCCCCUUCCCUGGGUCUUGGGGCCACUCGCAGACAACAUAGUCACCGCCUCCCUCCCCAGACACUGCCACUGCUGUGUCCUGGCAGAAUCCGUGCCUCCCUCAGGAAGCAGAGCCUCCGAGCCACAGAGGGGGCUGAAGGGGGCACAGAAACCCUGCCAGCGGGUCGCUGCGGGCACAGUGGGAGGA